rnacentral:rRNA from 1 species
AUACGUAGGGGGCAAGCGUUAUCCGGAAUUAUUGGGCGUAAAGAGUGCGUAGGUGGUUACCUAAGCAGGGGGUGAAAGGCACUGGCUUAACCAAUGUCAGCCCCCUGAACUGGGCUACUUGAGUGCAGGAGAGGAAAGUGGAAUUCCUAGUGUAGCGGUGAAAUGCGUAGAUAUUAGGAGGAACACCAGUGGCGAAGGCGACUUUCUGGACUGUUACUGACACUGAGGCACGAAAGUGUGGGGAGCAAACAGGAUUAGAUACCCUGGUAGUCCACACCGUAAACGAUGAGCACUAGGUGUCGGGGGAGCAAUCCUUCGGUGCCGCAGUUAACGCAUUAAGUGCUCCGCCUGGGGAGUACGUACGCAAGUAUGAAGCUCAAAGGAAUUGACGGGG